CAGUUAGUUACACAUUCUUAAUUAUCCUCAGUAAUGCUAAGCUUCAUUCAUAUUUCUUUUUUCCUGCUUAUGUUGCCAAUUGGUAGGGUUUAGUUACUUAAACAUCUCAAGCCUUUUACUUCCAUGGUUCCAUCUACUGUGAUGGCCAAUUGCAUUUUUCAUCAGUAUGGCAAAGAAACAUGAUGCAAUAAACCAUAUUGUAAGAAAAUCCUCUUGGCAAUACAUCAAUUAGAGUACUGAGCGCUUAAUAUUCCAAUAUUGUACUAAGUUAUCAACUGUACAAGGCAAUUAUCUGUGUUGACUGUUGAAGUUUUAAUCUCUCGAGCAUGCCGUCCCGUGCUCUCUUGAGCGAGUUAGUGCCUGCAGAUGAGCUGAUCUUCAGGUGUAUUGGAAAAAAAAAAGGAAAGGAAGAAAUCGGCUUUAAGUAGAGUUUGCUGGGACCAUUUUGCAGAUUAUAAAUGGAAGAAUUUUGGCAUACUAGUUAAAUGCCUGUGCUUUACUAUGUAUAAAAGGAAAAAAAAUCAUAAUAUUGCCUAAAAUAAAUAAAAACAUAUUUU